rnacentral:rRNA from 1 species
UACGAAGGGGGCUAGCGUUGCUCGGAAUCACUGGGCGUAAAGGGUGCGUAGGCGGGUCUUUAAGUCAGGGGUGAAAUCCUGGAGCUCAACUCCAGAACUGCCUUUGAUACUGAAGAUCUUGAGUUCGGGAGAGGUGAGUGGAACUGCGAGUGUAGAGGUGAAAUUCGUAGAUAUUCGCAAGAACACCAGUGGCGAAGGCGGACUCACUGGCC